rnacentral:misc_RNA from 1 species
UCAAACUUGGUCAUUUAGAGGAAGUAAAAGUCGUAACAAGGUUUCCGUAGGUGAACCUGCGGAAGGAUCAUUAACGAAUUCGAAACAAAGCGCCCCGAGGCUGAUGCUGGCUCCUUGGAGCAAGUGCACGCCUCCGGGGUGCGCCUUCAAUUCGCUUACCCUCCCUUGUGCACUCCAUGUAGGUCGCCCCCCCCCUCGGCGCCUACGAUCUUCGUACACACCCCGAUCGCAUGUAUGUCGUGCAGCCUUUUUGUAACAACACAAAAAAAUACAACUUUCAACAACGGAUCUCUUGGCUCUCGCAUCGAUGAAGAACGCAGC